GACGAACGCUGGCGGCGUGCCUAACACAUGCAAGUCGAGCGAAUGAAGUUCUUUCGGGAAUGGAUUUAGCGGCGGACGGGUGAGUAACACGUGGGCAACCUGCCUCAUAGAGUGGAAUAGCCUUCCGAAAGGGAGAUUAAUACCGCAUAAGAUUGUAGUACCGCAUGAUACAGCAAUUAAAGGAGCAAUCCGCUAUGAGAUGGGCCCGCGGCGCAUUAGCUAGUUGGUGAGGUAACGGCUCGCCAAGGCGACGAUGCGUAGCCGACCUGAGAGGGUGAUCGGCCACAUUGGGACUGAGACACGGCCCAGACUCCUACGGGAGGCAGCAGUGGGGAAUAUUGCACAAUGGGGGAAACCCUGAUGCAGCAACGCCGCGUGAGUGAUGACGGCCUUCGGGUUGUAAAGCUCUGUCUUCAGGGACGAUAAUGACGGUACCUGAGGAGGAAGCCACGGCUAACUACGUGCCAGCCGCCGCGGUAACAC
rnacentral:rRNA from 1 species